ACCCUGGGAAACUGGGGCUAAUACCGCAUAUGGACUGAGGUCCAAAGCCGUAAGGCGCCUUAUGAGCGGCCUGCGUCCGAUUAGGUAGUUGGUGGGGUAAAGGCCUACCAAGCCUGCGAUCGGUAGCUGGUCUGAGAGGACGAUCAGCCACACUGGGACUGAGACACGGCCCAGACUCCUACGGGAGGCAGCAGUGGGGAAUAUUGGACAAUGGGCGCAAGCCUGAUCCAGCAAUGCCGCGUGGGUGAAGAAGGUCUUCGGAUUGUAAAGCCCUUUCGACGGGGACGAUGAUGACGGUACCCGUAGAAGAAGCCCCGGCUAACUUCGUGCCAGCAGCCGCGGUAAUACGAAGGGGGCUAGCGUUGCUCGGAAUUACUGGGCGUAAAGGGCGCGUAGGCGGCACUGUUAGUCAGGCGUGAAAGUCCUGGGCUCAACCUGGGAACUGCGCUUGAUACGGCAGAGCUAGAGGAUGGAAGAGGCUCGCGGAAUUCCCAGUGUAGAGGUGAAAUGCGUAGAUAUCGGGAGGAACACCUGUGGCGAAAGCGGCUCACUGGACCAUAACUGACGCUGAGGCACGAAAGCUAGGGGAGCAAACAGGAUUAGAUACCCUGGUAGUCCUAGCCCUAAACGAUGAUCGCUUGGGUGU
rnacentral:rRNA from 1 species